AGAGUUUGAUCCUGGCUCAGAAUCAACGCUGGCGGCGCGCUUAACACAUGCAAGUCGAACGAGAAAGUGGAGCAAUCCAUGAGUACAGUGGCGUACGGGUGAGUAACACGUGGGUAAUCUGCCUCUUAGUGUGGAAUAACCCUGGGAAACCGGGGCUAAUACCGCAUAAUCCCGAGAGGGGAAAGCAGCAAUGCGCUGAGAGAGGAGCCCGCGGCCGAUUAGCUAGUUGGUAGGGUAAAAGCCUACCAAGGCGAAGAUCGGUAGCCGGCCUGAGAGGGCACACGGCCACACUGGCACUGAAACACGGGCCAGACUCCUACGGGAGGCAGCAGUGGGGAAUCUUGCACAAUGGGGGCAACCCUGAUGCAGCGACGCCGCGUGAGCGAUGAAGUCCUUCGGGGCGUAAAGCUCUUUCGGCAGGGACGAUAAUGACGGUACCUGCAGAAGCAGCUGCGGCUAACUACGUGCCAGCCGCCGCGGUAAUAC
rnacentral:rRNA from 1 species